rnacentral:rRNA from 1 species
CCCUUAGAUGUUCUGGGCUGCACGCGCGCUACACUGAUGCGUUCAACGAGUUUAUGACCUUGCCCGAUAGGGUUGGGUAAUCUUUUUAAAUCGCAUCGUGAUGGGGAUAGAUUAUUGCAAUUAUUAAUCUUCAACGAGGAAUUCCUAGUAAGCGCGAGUCAUCAGCUCGUGCUGAUUACGUCCCUGCCCUUUGUACACACCGCCCGUCGCUCCUACCGAUUGAAUGGUCCGGUGAAGCGUUCGGACCGUGGCCUUUGGACGGUUCGCCGUCUGUUGGCUGCGGGAAGUUCGUUAAACCUUAUCAUUUAGAGGAAGGAGAAGUCGUNACA